UUGUGAAACUAGUUUAUAUAUUAGAAAUUACAAAUAUACAUAUAUGUGGCCAUUCGUGUACAACUGUCACCAAAAACAUCUACUUCAUCGAAACCCUAACUUUUCAUUGAGUUCCUUCUCACGGAGUCAAACGUUCGUGAUGAAUUUUUCUAAUGUCCUUUACCUGCAUGCCCUGAAUUACUAGGUCGUGCUUCAAUCUUGAUUCCUCUAAUCAUCGUUUUAUCCCAACCUCGUUCUAUUUCAGUUCCAAACAAAACAAAAGACGAUUAAGAGAGUUAAAUUUUCAAAGCCUAUUACAAAAAAGAAAAAAGAGAGUUAAAUUUUCCAAAUUUUGAAAAAGAAAAUAAAGAUGGAUUGAUCAAUUUGUUCAAACAAAUUUUAUUGAAUGCUAUAUAAUAUUUAUAUUUUCAAUAUAAUCGAUUUCAGAGAUGAAUGAUAUAUUUCAUAUAAUUUAGAACUUACUUGUUUUGGAAGAUUCAUAAGGUAGUCCAGCAAGUGCUGUGUUUGAUGAUGCAGAUAAUAAGAGAAGAAGCAACGUUAUUAAC
rnacentral:lncRNA from 1 species